rnacentral:misc_RNA from 1 species
GAUGAAGAACGUAGCGAAAUGCGAUAAGUAAUGUGAAUUGCAGAAUUCAGUGAAUCAUCGAAUCUUUGAACGCACAUUGCGCCCGCCAGUAUUCUGGCGGGCAUGUCUGUCCGAGCGUCAUUUCAACCCUCAGGCCCUGGUUGCCUGGUGUUGGGGCGCCGCGCACCCUCUGCGGGCGCGGGCCCCGAAAGUCAGUGGCGGGCUCGCCAGGACUCCGAGCGCAGUAAUUUUCUCUCGCUGUGGAGCGCCUGGUGGGUUACCAGCCGUAAAACACCCCAAAUUCUAAAGGUUGACCUCGGAUCAGGUAGGAAUACCCGCUGAACUUAAGCAUAUCAAUAAGCGGAGGA